AUCUGCCUUACAAGCAGAGGGCCACAGGUUCGAGCCCUGUAGGUCCCA
rnacentral:tRNA from 1 species